CCCAGGUCCGCCGUGCAGUGCCGCCGGCCACACGCCCAUUCUUGUCUACUUACCCAGUUGCCUCGGCGGGCCUCGCGCCCGCCAGAGGAGUGAUUAAAAUCCAUGAAUACUGUUCCGUCUGAGCGUUAGCAAGUAAAAUCAGUUAAAACUUUCAACAACGGAUCUCUUGGUUCCGGCAUCGAUGAAGAACGCAGCGAAAUGCGAUAAGUAAUGUGAAUUGCAGAAUUCCGUGAAUCAUCGAAUCUUUGAACGCACAUUGCGCCCUCUGGUAUUCCGGGGGGCAUGCCUGUUCGAGCGUCAUUUCAACCCCUCAAGCGCGGCUUGUGUGAUGGACGACCGUCCCCGCCCUCCCCGGCUCCCGGGGAGGGGGACGCGCCCGAAAAGCAGUGGCCAGGCCGCGAUUCCGGCUCCUGGGCGAAUGGGCAACAAACCAGCGCCUCUAGGACCGGCCGGCUCUCUGGCCUAGU
rnacentral:misc_RNA from 1 species